rnacentral:lncRNA from 1 species
AAGAUGUAACGAGCAAUUUGGUAAAAUAAAUUUGUCGUAAUCUUUUACGGUUGCGAAGGAGUAGUGGCCACAAGAAAAACAGUGUUUGGGGAGAUAACUCUUACAACGUAAAGUAUUUUGUUACGCAGUUGUAAAUUUUAAAAGCGUAUAAACUAUACGAUAUCAUAUUCCAAAUAUCUAAGCGACAUCUUUUGAAACAUCAAUACUACGCAAGAAAAAAAAUUAGGCGGAAGAAAAAAAAAAAAAUAAUAAUAAU